GACAGAGGGUGCAAACGUUGCUCGGAAUUACUGGGCGUAAAGCGCGUGUAGGCGGUCACGCAAGUCAGGUGUGAAAGCCCAGGGCUCAACCCUGGAAGUGCACAUGAUACUACGUGGCUGGAGUACUGAAGAGGAGAGCGGAAUUCCCGGUGUAGAGGUGAAAUUCGUAGAUAUUGGGAAGAACACCGGUGGCGAAGGCGGCCAUCUGGACCGCAACUGACGCUGAGGCGCGAAAGCGUGGGGAGCAAACAGG
rnacentral:rRNA from 1 species